ACUUAAUAUAUUUUUUAAGGUGCUUCUAAUUUAGAAGUUAAAAGGGAAAGAGGUGAAAAUCCUCUGCAGCCCCCGCUACUGUGAUGGCAGACGAAAUCUGUUGAAAGCCACUAUCUGUUGAUGAGUAUUGUUUAAUAUUGAGUAUCAGAUGGGAAGGUCAGAGAGUAGGAAGAAGCCAGAGCCAGGAAACCUGCCUUAAAAAAUAGACAACC
rnacentral:ncRNA from 2 species